rnacentral:lncRNA from 1 species
GGAUUUCAACAUGUGUAUUUUGUUGGGGGUGGGGGGAUAGGGGGACACAACAUCUAGUAUAUAGCAUAGCCUCAUGUGAACAGCAUAGCUGGAGAAUAAGGUAUAUUGAGAAAGAGAGGACAGAUGUGAAGGGAUCUGCUUAGGAAGGAUCUCGAGUGUCAUGAUUUUAUCUUUUAGGCCUGUAGUGACACUGCUCCGGAUUUCACCUCAAUGCCUAACAUUAUCCAGAAGAGAAAGAAUCUAUUCAGGAGGAGAAACAACUUUUCUAGAAGUCUCCUGCAAUGAUCUGCCCACUAGAAAGGUCCAAUUUUCAAGCUUUUUCUCUGGGAAAUGAAAUACAAAGAACCUUGUGGACCAUCUAUAGCCCUCACAUGCCAUGAGGCUGGAGAGAAUGGAGGGAAAGCAAGAGGACCUUGGCCUGACCCAGUAAGGAGCUGGGUGGUUUUGUAAUUCCAUGGGAUUCACCAUGCUCUUUCCCAGGCUGGGCUCCUGAAUUACUUGCUCUUAUACUUUUUUUUUUUCUUACGAUUUUAUUUAGUUGAGAGAGUGGGAGGGAGAAGGAGAGAGAUUUUGAAGCAGACUCCAAGCUGAGCACAGAGCUGAACGUGGGGGUUCAGUGCCAUGACUGCAAGACCGUUCCUGAUCUGAGCCAAAACCAAGAUCGGCCGCUCAACUGACUGAGCCACUCAGAUGCCCUCUUAUACUUUAUUUUCAAAUUGACCAACUUCCUUCUCAGUGGAAAAAUAGAAUAUUUUUUCCUUAAUAUAUGGGUCUUCUUUGCUUUCCCUCCUGAGUUCAAGAACUUGGCUAGUGCAAAGGUUUUUCUGGAGUAGGCUUUAAACACCAGAAUUGCUGCAGUCCUGCUGGAUACAAUGGAUUUCUCCAUUUGGCAGGACCCAAGUGGGGCAGCCCAGAUCCACCUGGAUGUUAGAAGCUGCAGGACUGAGAGGCCAGGGUCACCUGUCCACUGGACCCCUUGGCAGGAUUUUCAAAGCACAAGGUUUCUUUGUUUCUUGUCUAUCUCCCCACAAGGGUAAAG